AAGGUGGAAAGAGACAAAAUGAAGGUGCUUGAGAGAGAAGGUUGUGCGGUGGGAGCUGCUGUGUUUCUUGUCUAUUGCCUCGACUAGUGAGCGAUUCAAGGCAUCAAAUUUCAGAAAUCCUGGGUAAGAAACUCUUCAGCCUUUGCCAAAGCCACCAGACAUGGAUCAGCAGCAACAUUGCCAACAGGGUUUGUUCACUGAGAAGAUUGUUGGAUGAAACGGGUCGAAAGAAUAGAAUUUUAUAUAGCAAUCUUUCACGUCGGAAGGACGACCCAAAGCGUUUAUCAG